GCACCAAUGGUUUAGUGGUAAAAUAUCUGGUUCCCAUUCAGAUGCCCCGGGUUCGAUUCCCGGUUGGUGCA
rfam:Saprolegnia parasitica CBS 223.65 unplaced genomic scaffold supercont2.45, whole genome shotgun sequence.